GUACGUAGGGGCGGUAGCGUUGUCCGGAAUCAUUGGGCGUAAAGCGCGUGUAGGCGGUCCGGUAAGUCCGCUGUGAAAGUCGGGGGCUCAACCCUCGAAUGCCGGUGGAUACUGUCGGGCUAGAGUGCGGAAGAGGCGAGUGGAAUUCCUGGUGUAGCGGUGAAAUGCGCAGAUAUCAGGAGGAACACCAAUUGCGAAGGCAGCUCGCUGGGACGUAACUGACGCUGAGACGCGAAAGCGUGGGGAGCAAACAGG
rnacentral:rRNA from 1 species